UACGGGGGGGGCAAGCGUUGUUCGGAAUUACUGGGCGUAAAGGGCUCGUAGGUGGCCAACUAAGUCAGACGUGAAAUCCCUCGGCUUAACCGGGGAACUGCGUCUGAUACUGGAUGGCUUGAGUUCGGGAGAGGGAUGCGGAAUUCCAGGUGUAGCGGUGAAAUGCGUAGAUAUCGGGAGGAACACCGGUGGCGAAGGCGGCGACCUGGGUAGAUACUGACGCUGAGGCGCGAAAGCGUGGGGAGCAAACAGG
rnacentral:rRNA from 1 species